rnacentral:snRNA from 1 species
AUUGCUUCUCAGCCUUUGGGCUAAGAUCAAGUGUAAUAUAUUCUUACCAGUUUAAAAU